rnacentral:rRNA from 1 species
GAUGAACGCUGGCGGCGUGCUUAACACAUGCAAGUCGAACGGAUUGCUUGGUGCUUGCACUGAGUGGUUAGUGGCGAACGGGUGAGUAACACGUGAGUAACCUGCCCCCUUCUUUGGGAUAAGCACCUGAAAGGGUGUCUAAUACUGAUUAUUCUGCUGGAAUCGCAUGGUUUUGGUUGGAAAGGUUUUUCUGGUGGGGGAUGGGCUCGCGGCUUACCUCAGCUUGUUGGUGGGGUAAUGGCUUACCAAGGCUUUGACGGGUAACCGGCCUGAGAGGGUGACCGGUCACAUUGGGACUGAGAUACGGCCCAGACUCCUACGGGAGGCAGCAGUGGGGAAUAUUGCACAAUGGACGAAAGUCUGAUGCAGCGACGCCGCGUGAGGGAUGAAGGCCUUCGGGUUGUAAACCUUUUUCGCUUUUGUACCAAGGCAGCAUUUUGGUGUUGUUGAGGGUAUGAGGUAAAGAAGCUCGGCUAACUACGUG